rnacentral:rRNA from 1 species
GUCGAACGCUGGCGGCGGGCCUAACACAUGCAAGUCGAGCGGAACGGCGGAAGGGUGAGGAAUACCGAGGAAUCUGCAUGGUAGUGGCGGAUCAAGUAGGGGAACGGAAGCUAUUAACGCAUACUAUCAGAGGAGCCUAGGUCGGAUUAGCUAGUUGGUGAGGUAAUGGCUCACCAAGCCUACGAUUCGUCACCGGUCUGAGAGGCUGAUCAGUCACACUGGAACUGAUACACGGUCCAGACGCCUACGUGAGUCAGCAGUGGGGAAUAUUGGACAAUGGGCGAAGGCCUGACCCAGCCACGCCGCGUGUGUGAAGAAGGUCUUCGGAUUGUAAAGCACUUUAAUUUGGGAGGCGUUACCGACAGAAUAAGCCCCGGCUAACACUGUGCCAGCAGCCGCGGUAAUUC